AUUGAACGCUGGCGGCAGGCCUAACACAUGCAAGUCGAGCGGAUGAAGGGAGCUUGCUCCUGGAUUCAGCGGCGGACGGGUGAGUAAUGCCUAGGAAUCUGCCUGGUAGUGGGGGAUAACGUCCGGAAACGGGCGCUAAUACCGCAUACGUCCUGAGGGAGAAAGUGGGGGAUCUUCGGACCUCACGCUAUCAGAUGAGCCUAGGUCGGAUUAGCUAGUUGGUGGGGUAAAGGCCUACCAAGGCGACGAUCCGUAACUGGUCUGAGAGGAUGAUCAGUCACACUGGAACUGAGACACGGUCCAGACUCCUACGGGAGGCAGCAGUGGGGAAUAUUGGACAAUGGGCGAAAGCCUGAUCCAGCCAUGCCGCGUGUGUGAAGAAGGUCUUCGGAUUGUUAAGCACUUUAAGUUGGGAGAAAGGGCAGUAAGUUAAUACCUUGCUGUUUUGACGUUACCAACAGAAUAAGCACCGGCUAACUUCGUG
rnacentral:rRNA from 1 species